AUAUCUCUCUGUACGGGAAGGAUGAGAAGCUUCGACCAAGGUUCGAUUCGAGCGCAGCGAGAAAGCGUUGCCGCAGGCAACGACCCGAAGGGCGAAGCGCGCAGCGCUGAG
rnacentral:sRNA from 2 species